UACGUAGGUGGCAAGCGUUAUCCGGAUUUACUGGGUGUAAAGGGCGCGUAGCCGGGUCGACAAGUCAGAUGUGAAAACUAUUGGCUUAACCAAUAGCCUGCAUUUGAAACUGCCGAUCUUGAGUACUGGAGAGGUUGACGGAAUUCCGUGUGUAGCGGUGAAAUGCGUAGAUAUACGGAAGAACACCAGUGGCGAAGGCGGUCAACUGGACAGCAACUGACGGUGAGGCGCGAAAGCGUGGGGAG
rnacentral:rRNA from 1 species